CUCAGCUUGCUGGGUGGAUCAGUGGCGAACGGGUGAGUAACACGUGAGCAACCUGCCCUCCACUUCGGGAUAAGCCUUGGAAACGGGGUCUAAUACCGGAUAUGAGUGCCCAUCGCAUGGUGGGUGUUGGAAAGUUUUUCGGUGGGGGAUGGGCUCGCGGCCUAUCAGCUUGUUGGUGGGGUGAUGGCCUACCAAGGCGUCGACGGGUAGCCGGCCUGAGAGGGCGACCGGCCACACUGGGACUGAGACACGGCCCAGACUCCUACGGGAGGCAGCAGUGGGGAAUAUUGCACAAUGGGCGAAAGCCUGAUGCAGCGACGCCGCGUGAGGGAUGACGGCCUUCGGGUUGUAAACCUCUUUCAGCAGGGAAGAAGGCUCCUUUGGGGUGGACGGUACCUGCAGAAGAAGCGCCGGCUAACUACGUGCCAGCAGCCGCGGUAAUACGUAGGGCGCAAGCGUUGUCCGGAAUUAUUGGGCGUAAAGAGCUCGUAGGCGGUCUGUCGCGUCUGGUGUGAAAUCCCAUGGCUCAACUGUGGGCGUGCAUCGGGUACGGGCAGACUAGAGUGCGGUAGGGGAGACUGGAAUUCCUGGUGUAGCGGUGGAAUGCGCAGAUAUCAGGAGGAACACCGAUGGCGAAGGCAGGUCUCUGGGCCGCAACUGACGCUGAGGAGCGAAAGCAUGGGGAGCGAACAGGAUUAGAUACCCUGGUAGUCCAUGCCGUAAACGUUGGGCACUAGGUGUGGGGCUCA
rnacentral:rRNA from 1 species